CUUGUGAAUCUUAUGUAAACAAACUGAUCCAAUGUUUCUAGUUUUUUUCCUUAUAAGAAUGUUUAGGUAGUAUUAAAACUACAAUUAUUCUUUAGGGCUGAGGACGAUAUGAACUUAGUAUUUCAGGCCUAGAUGAAUAAAUAGUAUGAUAUUAUAUUAGGAUCUGUAUGUAUGAUGUCAAAUAGUGAUUGCAUUAGUGUGCAAAAUGUCAAUUUUUGUUUACAUGGGAGGAGUAAUGGCUGAAGUGAUCUAUGUGCUCCUUACUAUUUCAUCUUGUAGUUUCUUUCAUUACUAUUUCAUCUUGUCUCCACCUUACUUGAGUACAGGCCCGUGCAACUCCUCAUCCCAUCUAAUCUCUUGUGCUCUUGUCCCACUAUGAGAUCACAGAGGUGCAAAAACGUUAGGUUGCUCAAAGGAAAUUCUAUGGUGGCUACAAUAUUCAGGUUGUAAUGCCCACAGGUAAGCUACAGGAACAACUUCUUUUUGUGACUUAAAAGUGGCAGAACAGAUGAAUGCAUAUUACUCUACAAGGAAUCUGCAAUUUUUUAUACUCUUUGAAAGACAUGACAUACCUAGCAACUAGCAGCCAUGGUGAGUAAUUUACAUUUGUGAGCAAUUCUUUUGUUUUUGGUUUGAUUAUGUCAUAUGGUGUUUACAAGUAAAUAUUGUUACACUAACUAACCUUUUAGAUUAAUAUCUAUUCUAUUUGCAAUUUGCAAAGUUCUUUAGUAAAUAUUUACCUUUUAGAUUAACCUUUUUGUUUAUAUAAUAUGGUGUUUACAAGUAAAUAUUCUUUUGUUCCUCCUCCUAGAAAAUAUAGAAUAUUGAUUUUGACAUCUGGUUAGAAUUCUAUAUGCUUAGGCUUUUUCAAAGGUUGCAAAGUUGAAUGUACUAAAUGGAGAAUCUUCACCUAAGUCAGCUUAAAUCACUCUUUAUAAUUUUGGAAUUCUGCAAGAAUUAUCCUCGUAAUAUAUUUGACUUUUUAAUCUUAUUACGUGUCUGAUACUGCAUAUACCAGAGGAAAAACUUAAAAAGGUGAUGCUGUAGGAGAGGGAGAGUUGCCAGAAAUCCGAAUUUGAAGCCAAAUUGAGGCAGGCUGAUGUUAGUUUCAAAUUUCUAAAUUUUAUAUUGUUGGGAACUCUGAAUGAGCAAUAUUCAGACAACACACGACUUGGCUGGUGCGUCAGUAGGAGCGCAUCCGCUAAUCCGCAGAAUCGGCUGUGAUCCGCAUCGAUCUGGUUCCUGUCUGAUGCAGCUGACUGAAACCUCAAGGUCUGAAUUCCUGCUUGGGACAAUAUCAUAGCAUAAGCUUUGUACAUGAAACCAUCACAAAUCGAACUUAGGCAGUGCUUUGUGCACAAUUGAACUAUUUGUUGUGGUGUCGAUGCCACUGCCAAGAGCCCUGUAACGUGCCUCACUGAACUUGAGGCUGCAGCUAGCUAAUGUGUUUAGUCUCUUC